UGCAAUUGUGAUUGCAACCUUGGGAAGUCUAUCCCAAAUGCUUGACAAGCAAAUAUUUUAAGUUGGAUUUUAUGCGAGUGUUGGUUAUUGAUGAGACAAAGUCGUGCAGGUCGCAUGUUCAAGAGUGAGUGUUGGUAUUUGACAUGAACAUGUAUCCUUCUUAAGAGUUCUAUGCUUCUGACGCUUCAAUGAUUUUUUUAUGCUGAUUUGGUCUUUCAUCUGCAACAUCCUAGCUUUAGUGCAAUUCUUGGACCAUUGGAACAUUGAUUUUAUGUUUAACUCUUCGAAAAAAGUGAGUUCUCUCGGAAGCUGUUGACCACUUACUUGUCAAUCCAUAUGUGUCAAACCAUAUUUACUAGUGCAUCAAUUCCUCAGCACGGAUGGUUUCUGUACGACUGUAAACAGCAGAAAUGGACCAAGUGAUUAUCACGGGCUGAUGUUGUUCAUGUCCAUGUGAAUCCUGCUGAACCUCUUCCAUCAUGCCUGUGUCACAGAUUUGUGCUAUUUGGUAAAACAGAGAGGCAUUCAACAUUGCUACAUUUUUUGCAUUCAGAUACACCUCAAUCAGCCAUAGUUUUUGUUGGUGAGCAAUUUAGUGCCCCUUAUCACCCCCAAUUGCUUAAUUGAACUGUCAUCGUUUUCG